UGAGUAGGAGCUUGGGGAAAGCAUUUGGCUGUUAACCAAGAGAUGCAGGAUCGAGGCCUGCCUACUUAG
rnacentral:tRNA from 1 species